GUUCCAGACCCUCUCUCCGUGAAGGAGGCAGUGCCUGUGGCUGUCGCCAUUGCCGGGACAGUCUCACACAGGCAGGCUUGUGGCUCUGGUUUAUUUCCACGUAGGAGACCAGAGGGAGACCCCAGAGAGAAGAUGCCUCCCCGGAGUGAUGGCCUGACGAUGGAUUCCCGUGUGCGGCAACAUGGGGAGUCUGCAGUGUGGCCGGUUUGGAAACUGGCAAGGAGAGCGAGGGCACCAUGCCAGACUUCCACCCUUCCCUGCAUGUUUCUGGGUGCCCGCAGAGCUCCGGGAGGAAACAGUCAGCAGGACACAUCUCUGAACUGAUCAACAAAGUGAUGUAACUCUUGUCUACGCUCUGCCUACAGGGGCUUUGUGACAUAACUCUGCACUGAUCAGCCAGGUGAUGGGACUUUUGUCUACGCUCUGCCUAUGGGGGCAUUGUGACAUAUCUCUACGCAGAUCACCCAGGUGAUGUAACUCUUGUGUAGGAUCUGCCUAUGGGGGCAUUUUGACAUAUUUCUGCACUGAUCACCCAAGUGAUGGGACUCUUCUCUAGGCUCUGUGUAUGGGGGCUUUGUGACAUAUCUCUGCAUUGAUCACUCAGGUGAUGGGACGCUUGUCUAGGCUUUGUGAAUGGGGGCUUUGUGACAUAUGUCUGCACUGAUCACCGAGGUGAUGGAACGCUUGACUAGGCUCUGCCUACGGGGCAUAGUGACAUAUCACUGCAUUGAUCACCGAGGAGAUGUAACUCUUGUCUAGGCUCUGCCUAAAGUGGGCUUGUGACAUAUCUCUGCACUGAUCACCCAGGUGAUAUAACUCUUCUCUAGGAUCUGCCUACUGGGUGCUUUGUGACAUAUCCCUGCAAUGAUCACCCAGGUGAUAUACCACUUGUCAAGGCCCUGCCUACAGGGGCAUUGCGAUGUAUCUCUGCACUGAUCACCUAGGUCAUGUAAAUCUUUUCUAGGCUCUACCUAUAGUGGCAUUGUGACAUAUCUCUGCACUGAUCACCCAGGUGAUGUAACUCUUUUCUAGGAUCUGCCUACAGGGUGCUUUGUGACAUAUCCCUGCAAUGAUCACCCAGGUGAUGUACCACUUGUCAAGGCUCUGCCUACAGGGACAUUGCGAUGUAUCUCUGCACUGAUCACCGAGGUCAUGUAACUCUAGUCUAGGCUCUGCCUACUGUAGCAUAGUGACAUAUCUCUGCACUGAUCAUCCAAGUGAUGUAACCUUUCUCUAGGAUCUGCCUAAAGGGAAUUUGUGACAUAACUCUGCACUGAUCAUCCAGGUGAUGGGGCUUUUAUCUAGGCUCUGCCUAAGGGGGCAUUGUGACAUAUUUCUGCACUGAUCACCCAGGUGAAGGACUCUUGUCUUCGAUCGGCCUAUAGGGGCAUUGUGACAUAUUUCUGCACUGAUCACCCAGGUGAUGGGACUCUUGUCUAGGCUCUGUGUAUGGGGACUUUGUGACAUAUCUCUGCAGUAAUCACCCAGGUGAUGUAACGCUUGACUAGGCUCUGCCUACGGGGCAUAGUGACAUAUCACUGCAUUGAUCACUGAGGUGAUGUAACUCUUGUCCGACUCUGCGUAUAGGGGGCCUUGUGACAUAUCUCUGCACUGAUCAUCUAGGUGAUGUAACUCUUGCUUACACUCUGCCUGCAGGGGCAUUGUGAAAUAUCUCUGCACUGAUCACGCAGGUGAUUGGACUCUUCUGUAGGCUCCGCCUCCUGAGGGCAUUGUCACAUAUUUCUGCAAUGAUCACCCAGGUGACGAACGCUUGUCUUGGAUUUGCCUAUGGGGACAUUGUGACAUAUCUCUGCAAUGAUCAUCCAGGUGAUGUAACUCUGGUCUAAGCUCUGCCUAAAGGGGCCUUGUGACAGAUCUCUGCAGUGAUCACUCAGGUGAUGUAACUAUUGUCGAGGGUCUGCUUAAAGGGGCCUUGUCACAUAUCUCUGCCCUGAUCACCCAGAUGAUGUAACUCUUGUCUAGGCUCUGCUUACAGGGGGCAAUGUGACAUAUCUCUGCAGUGAUCACCUAAGUGAUGUAACAGUUGUGUAGGU
rnacentral:lncRNA from 10 species